ACAGAGAAAAAAUAAAUGACAACACGAGCCCACCACCAAAUUUUUCUCGAGAAGAGUAAAAAAGCAUGACCAUUUGAGUGAUCUGCUGAGCGCUCAUGGCGACCGCGGAGGAGGCCAGCGAUGGAGUCGAGUUCCUGUCAGAUCCGGUCGACAGGUUCCCUUGUCGGAUCUUGGCGGCGGCGACUUGACGCCGGAUGGUGAGCCAGAACGUAUUGUGACGCAAUCCGCUGCUGAAUCGAGCAAGGGAGAUGUGGGCGAUGCGCCCCAUACCCUACAACUGGCCAUCAACAACAACUGUCAUGCAUUGAGCUUGUCGACGGCUGUUUCUAAACAGUCAACUGGAAAGGAUGAUCCUCAAGCCCUCGGCUGGACAAAAAGGGUUCGUAUGCGCCCUCAAAAAACCAUGAGAGGAUAUGCAAAGAUGAAAAGUGAUACUGUGGUAGUACCUGCUGUCGGUAGCAGCUUCGAUUCGUUGGGAGAGGCAUAUUACUACCAAUCUAUAUUCAUGGGAGAUUGAAUUCGGAAUAAGAUACGGAAAAGGUAGGCUCAAUCUCGAGAGAACCAAAUGUAUGCAGGACAUAGUAUCUGGAUGCUUGGGGAAACCAAAAAAAGGAAAUACACGGACAUGUCGCUGUGAGUGCCCAACAAUGAAACAUCUACUUUGAUCAAGUGAUAAUGGAUGGUACAUAAGUGAGCACAGGCAACAAUCCGCGGAGUGGGAGGGCAUCGAAAGAACACAUGAACCAAUCCCAGGAUUGUGUUACAUGUUGCCGAGAAAGCUGCUCCUGAACAUCCUGUGGAACUGUGAUUAAUCUGUACAAGCAGGAAGCAUGGUUUAUGUCACAGAUUUUCUUUGUUUUUCCCUUCUAUCAGUGCUUAGUAGCCAGAGCUGUGGAAAUUAAUUAUGUACUAUCAGCUUAGUAAUUUAUAUUACUCUAAACAUCUAACUUACUAAUGCAUACGCACGCCUUGCUAUGGCAUUUUUCUCUAUCAUAUUUAUGUUUGUCAGUAAUUCAA